UGCGUAGGCGGUGUCUUAAGUCGGAUGUGAAAUCCCUGAGCUUAACUUAGGAAUUGCAUUCGAUACUGGGAAGAUAGAGUAUGGGAGAGGAUGGUAGAAUUCCAGGUGUAGCGGUGAAAUGCGUAGAGAUCUGGAGGAAUACCGAUGGCGAAGGCAGCCAUCUGGCCUAAUACUGACGCUGAGGUACGAAAGCAUGGGGAGCAAACAGGAUUAGAUACCCCUGUA
rnacentral:rRNA from 1 species